CGGAUCCUCCCGCCUGGGGUCGGCCGCCCGCGUGUCCCGGCAGCGCCCCGCGCUGGGCUCUGGUGGCCCCGGGCACUGCGGCGAGGAAGUCCCGGGCGGCGCGCGCAGGAAGCCGGGGCAGGCGGAGGGGACGCGGGGCGCCCGGGGGCAGCGGCCUAGUGUCGCCCUCGCCGCGUGGGGGGCGGGACACUGGGUCGCCCCACUGGGCUCGGCGCCUCUCGGGGCGACAAGCGGGCGCGCGCCCGGCUCAGGGCCACCCUGCGCGCCUGGGGGUGGCCGGCACCGGGGCCCGGGGGGUUAACUCCCUCCGGAGGUCUCGGGCGUGUCUCUUCGGGUUGCCGGGCCCAGGGGCCAGGCGCGCCUCCGCCAGUUUACAAAGGAAACAGCCUCCUUCCCCCGCGGCAGGGGCUCCCCGACCCGCGGGCGAGGAGUGGGAGGUGACGGCGCCGGACCCCCUUCCCCCAGGCGCCCGGCUCCCGCGCCUUCAGGCGUCAAAGCCCCCGACUUCCCCGAGCACCAGCACGUCCGCACCCGGCUCAGAACGCAGGGGCCCGGCCUGCUGCGGUGACCUUGGCCCCGGGCCGGGCUUCUGAGCCGGACUUGCAGCGCCUGACGAGGCCUGGAGGCGGGGCGGGGGACCGCGUAGUUGUCCUGGCGACCCAGCGCCGCCGGGCAGGGCUCCUCCCAGCCUGGGAAUUGAGGACCACCGCCCCUGGUGCCACUGGGGACCGUCGGGUCGCUGGCGCCUGUCGACCUCGCCCUCCGGCGGCCGCGCGGCAGUGGGAGCCUCAGAGAGGAGCCAGGGCGGAGUGAGGGAGCCCGCGGGGCCUGGGACACCUGACCGUCCGGCUAGAACAGGGGUAGGGACCGAGGCCGAAUGAGCCAGAGUUCUGGCCGGGGACAGUCCCAGAGGAGGCCUGGAAGCCCAGUGAGUGUCUGUCCUCCUCUGUGUGGCCUGGGGCUCCCGCCAACACUAAGCCCUUCCUGGGGCCUCAGGCACCUCAAGGCGCCCCGUUCUCCAGGGUCAGCCAGCCCCUGCCCACUGGUUGCCAGGCUUGCAGUGGAGCCUGCCUGCUGUCCUGCCCACAGGCCUCUGCAGCUGCCCCCUCCAGGGGUGGGGCUGACUUUGGAGGAAAAAUGCCAGGCAGCAGGGACCCCCUCGCCACCCUGCUCCAGGUUGGGCUGAGCGGCCAUCCUGAGGCUGCCCACUUGCUUGGCUCUUCUUCCUGCCUGCUGGAGAGGCCUGCUGGGCACUGCCCUUUCUGAGCAUUGGGGACUGCCAGGGUGAAUCAGCAUUCAGGCUGGUGGGGCCAGCAUGGGGUGGGGCUAAUGCACAGGGGGCUGUAUGUGGGUGGAGGGAUCCAGAAAGAGUGUCCAGGG
rnacentral:lncRNA from 1 species